CAGGACGAACGCUGGCGGCGUGCCUAAUACAUGCAAGUCGAACGGUCUUUCUAUGGAAGCUUGCUUCCACUGAGAAGAUAGUGGCGAACGGGUGAGUAACACGUGGGUAACCUGCCCAUAAGAGGGGGGAUAACAUCCGGAAACGGGUGCUAAUACCGCAUAGUUUUCUUGAUCGCAUGAUCGGGAAAGGAAAGACGGCCUUUGUGCUGUCGCUUAUGGAUGGACCCGCGGCGUAUUAGUUAGUUGGUGAGGUAACGGCUCACCAAGACGAUGAUACGUAGCCGACCUGAGAGGGUGAUCGGCCACAUUGGGACUGAGACACGGCCCAAACUCCUACGGGAGGCAGCAGUAGGGAAUCUUCCGCAAUGGACGAAAGUCUGACGGAGCAACGCCGCGUGAGUGAAGAAAGGUUUUCGGAUCGUAAAACUCUGUUGUCAGAGAAGAACAAGUUGGAGAGUAACUGCUCCAGCCUUGACGGUAUCUGACCAGAGAGCCACGGCUAACUACGUGCCAGCCGCCGC
rnacentral:rRNA from 1 species